rnacentral:rRNA from 1 species
CCUACGGGUGGCAGCAGUGAGGAAUAUUGGUCAAUGGACGAGAGUCUGAACCAGCCAAGUAGCGUGAAGGAUGACUGCCCUCGGGGUUGUAAACUUCUUCUAUAUGGGAAUAAAACGUUCCACGUGUGGGAUUUUGUAUGUAUCAUAUGAAUAAGGAUCGGCUAACUCCGUGCCAGCAGCCGCGGUAAUACGGAGGAUCUGAGCGUUAUCCGGAUUUAUUGGGUUUAAAGGGAGCGUAGGUGGAUGGUUAAGUCAGUUGUGAAAGUGUGCGGCUCAACCGUAAAAUUGCAGUUGAAACUGGCAGUCUUGAGUACAGUAGAGGUGGGCGGAAUUCGUGGUGUAGCGGUGAAAUGCUUAGAUAUCACGAAGAACUCCGAUUGCGAAGGCAGUUCACUGGACUGCAACUGACACUGAGGCUCGAAAGUGUGGGUAUCAAACAGGAUUAGAUACCCGAGUAGUC